rnacentral:misc_RNA from 1 species
GGGUGAGGAGUGGAUUGGGAAGGUUAUUCAACUGCAAAAUACGAGUGAAAAUUGUGAUAAAUUAUUUGAAUCAACGAAUUCUUGUGAAUCUGCAGAAAAUAAGAAUAGUGAACUAGUUGGGAAAGAAAUUGAAAGCUUUGGGACUAGUGAUGGUUCAUUGGAAAUCAGAUCUAUGGGGAUUGAUGAUGAUUUGGACUUUCUUAGGGAUGUUAAAACCAUGGGAGGGAGUUUGGAAGGAUCAAGGUUGCAAUCUGGUGUAGAAAUCGGUGGAGCUGAGUUUGUAAAAUGUUCCGAUGACAGUGAGACGUCAUCAAAAUAUGAGCAUUCAGAUGGCGAGGACUCAAUGUUUGGAGGAAGCACUAAUGAUGAGAAGAACAUUAAUUCUUAUUAUGGAAGAGAGGUACACUGCUCUCUUGAAGAAAAUGACAAGGCUGAAAAUAAGUUGGUUAUGGGUUCG